rnacentral:rRNA from 1 species
UAAGGAAUAUUGGACAAUGGACGCAAGUCUGAUCCAGCCAUGCCGCGUGAAGGAUGAAUGCCCUCUGGGUUGUAAACUUCUUUUAUAGGGGAAGAAAGAUACUUUUUUUAAGGUAGUUGACGGUACCCUAUGAAUAAGCACCGGCUAACUCCGUGCCAGCAGCCGCGGUAAUACGGAGGGUGCAAGCGUUAUCCGGAUUUACUGGGUUUAAAGGGUGCGUAGGCGGGCAUGUAAGUCAGUGGUGAAAUACCGGAGCUUAACUUCGGAACUGCCAUUGAUACUAUAUGGCUUGAAUAUUGUUGAGGUAAGCGGAAUAUGUCAUGUAGCGGUGAAAUGCAUAGAUAUGACAUAGAACACCGAUUGCGGAGGCAGCUUGCCACGCAAAUAUUGACGCUGAGGCACGAAAGCGUGGGGAUCAAACA